CCUGGUUGAUCCUGCCAGUAGUCAUAUGCUUGUCUCAAAGAUUAAGCCAUGCAUGUGUAAGUAUGAACGAAUUCAGACUGUGAAACUGUGAAUGGCUCAUUAAAUCAGUUAUAGUUUGUUUGAUGGUAACUACUACUCGGAUAACCGUAGUAAUUCUAGCGCUAAUACGUGGAACAAACCUGACUUCUGGAAGGGAUGCCUUUAUUAGAUAAAAGGUCGACGCGGGGUCUGCCCGUUGCUCUGAUGAUUCAUGAUAACUUGACGGAUCGCAUGGCCUUAGUGCUGGAGACGCAUCAUUCAAAUUUCUGCCCUAUCAAAUUUUGAUGGUAGGACAGUGGCCUACCAUGGUGGUAACGGGAGACGGAGAAUUAGGGUUUGAUUCCGGAGAGGGAGCCUGAGAAACGGCUACCACAUCCAAGGAAGGCAGCAGGCGCGCAAAUUACCCAAUCCUGACACUAGGAGGUAGUGACAAUAAAUAACAAUAUCGGGCUCUUUGAGUCUGGUAAUUGGAAUGAGUACAAUCUAAAUCCCUUAACGUGGAUCCAUUGGAGGGUAAGUCUGGUGCCAGCAGCCGCGGUAAUUCCAGCUCCAAUAGCGUAUAUUUAAGUUGUUGCAGUUAAAAAGCUCGUAGUUGAACCUUGGGAUGGGUCGCCCGGUCCGCCUUCAGUGGGCACCGGUCGGCUUGUCUCUUCUGUCGGCGAUAUGCUCCUGGCCUUAACUGGUCGGGUCGUGCCUCCGGCGCUGUUACUUUGAAGAAAUUAGAGUGCUCAAAGCAAGCCUACGCUCUGUAUACAUUAGCAUGGGAUAACAUCAUAGGAUUUCGAUCCUAUUGUGUUGGCCUUCGGGAUCGAAGUAAUGAUUAACAGGGACAGUCGGUGUAGAAACCCGCAAAAAAAAAAAGAGAGAAUGGUCGAGUAUCUUUGUGGUGGUCGAGUUGCGGGCGAUCAGAUUGUUCUUGUUUAAACCAUGAGUCAAGUAUGCCACUAGGACAUGUUUUGACAAUGUCAUAGAUUGAUCAGAUGGAUGUUUUGGAAGCAAGCACGACGGGAUUGAAGCACGACGGGAAAACCCAAAAUUGGACGAAACCCCUAAUUUCGGUAUUAUGGAAUUUUUCGAGGAAGCCGAAGGAUCGGGAAAUAUUUUCUCUCAAGUUCAGAGAUCAACUGGAGUUUAUUAAAAAUGUUCAGAACAUCAGAAAGGGCGUAGAAAAAUAUUUGGGAUUGAUCGCAGGACGAAAAUUCACCGGAAGAGUGAAAAUCAGACGAACAGACCGAGAAGCUCGAGGUGGCUCGUUGCAUGGGAUCAGAACAUGGUGUCAACUGUUCAGUAAGCUGAGUGUCUACAGAAGCUCGAGGUGUCACCGUGCAUGGAAGCUGCACAUGCAGCUUGACAUGUAGAAGCACGAGGUGGAUCGACCAAGCACGAGGUGUCUCCGUGCAUGCAACCGAAGCAUGCUGAUCGACAUGUGUGUGCUGGGGUGUCGUCUUGCAUGAGUUCUAGCCAUGCAUCCUGACAUCAGGGAGGAGUGGUGGCGUCCUGCAUGUAUCCUGUACAUGCAGCCAGC
rnacentral:rRNA from 1 species